rnacentral:lncRNA from 1 species
ACACACACACACACACACACACCCCGUUUCCCUCCCUGCACCCACCUUGUUCUUUUGACAAGGUCUGUGUAGCCCAAGUUAUUUCCCAAGUCCUGGGAUUAGAAGCAUAGCCUAACAACCAUCCUGAAGGAAGCAGAAUUCUUUGCUGUAAUGUUUUAGUUUAUUUAAUAAAUGUUGGUUAAUUCAUGUGAACUUUUAAAAAAUAAUUUAUAAGGAUAAUUUUAAUGGGGACCUGAGAGUUGUUUUAGGGGUUAAGAUUACUUGAGGCUCUUGGAGAGGGCCCAGUUUCCGUUCCCCACACCCACAUGGAGAUUCACAGCUGUCCGGAGCUCUAGUUGCAGGGUUCCGGUGUAUUUCUUCUUCUAGCUUCUCUAGGCACACACACAUGCACACGCAUCACUCAUCUAUCUAUACAUGAGGGCAUACACGGAAGGAAAGAAUUUUAAAGUACUUUUAACAUGUUGAAAUGAUUUCAAUUUAAAUGAUUAAACAACAAAAUGUUUCAACUUGUAUUUUUACCAAAACACUAAUUUCAUAAUAUUGAUAGAAAGGGCCAGGACUACAGAUGAGAAAGGUUUUUUCCUACCAACCUUUGAAAAAUAAUAACAGUUGGUCAAAAGAAAAAUUUAAGCUCUGUUUAUGGUUUUGUAAACAGACAGGUGAGCAAAUAAGUAAGUGUGGAAAGAUACCACAACUCUCCCUCCAGAAAGUUCCAACUCAUACAAUCUAGAAGGACAAAGGAGCUGAAGAGCCACCACUAGGGCACUAUAGUAAAACUGACUAUAGGGCUAGAGAGAUGGCUCAGCGGGUAAGAGCACUGACUGCUCUUCUGAAGGUCUGGAGUUCAAAUCCCAGCAACCACAUCUGGCUCACAACCAUCUGUAAGGAGAUCUGAUGUCCUCUUCUGGUGUGUCUGAUGAUAGCUACAGUAUACUUAGAUAUAAUAAUAAAUAAAUCUUUAAAAAAUUGACUAUAGACAAGCUCCUUCAAAGGAUACUAAACUUAGCAGAUGAAAUUUAAAGUAGAAACUAUGUGCGCACUCUCUAAUUAUUUCCUCUAAUGUAUUUGAUGAUUGCCAAAGGGAAAAAUGACACAUUCACCAUGGAGCCAGUUGACCAGGACAGGUAUCACCAGAACUGUUAACACAUCUUUUGGUUUGAUGCCCUGAGAAGGACAGGCCUGUCAUUUCAUUUGUAUCCGUCAAAUAAUAACCUUAUUUUGAUCAUGAGUUGAGGGAGAUCCUAUUGAUUAACUGAUUUAGAAGUGUCAGUCAUGGAAGACAGGACAACUGCAAACUUGUGCCAGGUUAUAGAAGACUGGAGGAGCUAUGACAAAUAAAUGUGGAUAAGGUCUGGACCAGCUCCUGACAGGGGAGGCCUUAGUGAGGAGACGCAACGCUGACUGGAGGCUGUACUUCAUACACAGUCAGCUUCCCCCAGGGCUGGAGAGGUGCUCAUGCUGAGGACCCACAUCAGCUAGCUCACAAAUGCCUGUACCUCCAGGGCAGUGCUUCUCAGCCUUCCUAACGUUAACCACAACCACCCACAAUGAGAUCUGAUGCCCUCUUCUGCUGUGUCUGAAGACAGCUACAGUGUACUUAUGUAUAAUAAAAAAGAAAUCUUUGGACCAGAGAGAGCAGGGACUGAGCGAGUGGGAUUGGCCAGAGUGAGCAGAGGUUCCUCGUGUUGUGGUGACCUCCAACCAUACAAUUAUUUUUGGUGCUACUUCAUAACUGUAAUUUACUACUGUUAAGAAUUGGCUCGUUGGGUAAGAGCACUGACUGCUCUCCUGAGGGUCCUGAGUUCAAAUCCCAGCAACCACAUGGUGGCUCACAACCACCCGUAAUGAGAUAUGACUCCCUCUCCUGGUGUGUUUGAAGACAGCUAAAGUGUACCUAUUUAUAAUAAUAAAUAAAUCUUAAAAAAAUAAUCGUAAUGUAUGUUUUCCAGUAGUCUUAGGUGACCCCUGUAGAAAGGUUUUUGACCCUCCCUCCAAAGGCAUCACCACACACAGACUGAGAACCACUGCUCCAAGGAUUCAUAGUCCUCUGACCUCUGAGUCUCUGACAGACAGACAGACAGACAGACACACACACACACACACACACACAAAUUAAUCU